rnacentral:rRNA from 1 species
GAUGAACGCUGGCGGCGUGCCUAAUACAUGCAAGUCGAGCGAACAGACGAGGAGCUUACUCCUCUGACGUUAGCGGCGGACGGGUGAGUAACACGUGGAUAACCUACCUAUAAGACUGGGAUAACUUCGGGAAACCGGAGCUAAUACCGGAUAAUAUAUUGAACCGCAUGGUUCAAUAGUGAAAGACGGUUUUGCUGUCACUUAUAGAUGGAUCCGCGCCGCAUUAGCUAGUUGGUAAGGUAACGGCUUACCAAGGCAACGAUGCGUAGCCGACCUGAGAGGGUGAUCGGCCAUACUGGAACUGAGACACGGUCCAGACUCCUACGGGAGGCAGCAGUAGGGAAUCUUCCGCAAUGGGCGAAAGCCUGACGGAGCAACGCCGCGUGAGUGAUGAAGGUCUUCGGAUCGUAAAACUCUGUUAUUAGGGAAGAACAAAUGUGUAAGUAACUAUGCACGUCUUGACGGUACCUAAUCAGAAAGCCACGGCUAACUACGUG